rnacentral:rRNA from 1 species
CCUACGGGGGGCAGCAGUAAGGAAUAUUGGUCAAUGGAGGCAACUCUGAACCAGCCAUGCCGCGUGCAGGAAGACUGCCCUAUGGGUUGUAAACUGCUUUUAUCCGGGAAUAAACCUUUCUACGUGUAGGAAGCUGAAUGUACCGGAAGAAUAAGGAUCGGCUAACUCCGUGCCAGCAGCCGCGGUAAUACGGAGGAUCCAAGCGUUAUCCGGAUUUAUUGGGUUUAAAGGGUGCGUAGGCGGCCUGUUAAGUCAGGGGUGAAAGACGGUAGCUCAACUAUCGCAGUGCCCUUGAUACUGAUGGGCUUGAAUGGACUAGAGGUAGGCGGAAUGAGACAAGUAGCGGUGAAAUGCAUAGAUAUGUCACAGAACACCGAUUGCGAAGGCAGCUUACUAUGGUCUUAUUGACGCUGAGACACGAAAGCGUGGGGAUCAAACAGGAUUAGAUACCCUUGUAGUC